rnacentral:rRNA from 1 species
GAUGAACGCUGGCGGCGUGCCUAAUACAUGCAAGUCGAGCGAACGGACGAGAAGCUUGCUUUUCUGAUGUUAGCGGCGGACGGGUGAGUAACACGUGGAUAACCUACCUAUAAGACUGGGAUAACUUCGGGAAACCGGAGCUAAUACCGGAUAAUAUUUUGAACCGCAUGGUUCAAAAGUGAAAGACGGUCUUGCUGUCACUUAUAGAUGGAUCCGCGCUGCAUUAGCUAGUUGGUAAGGUAACGGCUUACCAAGGCAACGAUGCAUAGCCGACCUGAGAGUGUGAUCGGCCACACUGGAACUGAGACACGGUCCAGACUCCUACGGUAGGCAGCAGUAGGUAAUGUUCCGCCAUGGGCGAAAGCUUGACGGGGCAACUCCGCGUGAGUUAUGAAGGUCUUCGGAUCGUAAAACGCUGUUAUUAGGGAAGAACAUAUGUGUAAGGAACUGUACACAGCUGGACGGUACCUAGUCAGAAAGCCACGGCUAACUACGUG